rnacentral:rRNA from 1 species
CCUACGGGGUGCACCAGUGGGGAAUAUUGCACAAUGGGCGCAAGCCUGAUGCAGUCAUGUCGCGUGUAUGAAGAAGGCCUUCGGGUUGUAAAGUACUUUCAGCGGGGAGGAAGGUGUUGUGGUUAAUAACCACAGCAAUUGACGUUACCCGCAGAAGAAGCACCGGCUAACUCCGUGCCAGCAGCCGCGGUAAUACGGAGGGUGCAAGCGUUAAUCGGAAUUACUGGGCGUAAAGCGCACGCAGGCGGUCUGCCAAGUCGGAUGUGAGAUCCCCGGGCUCAACCUGGGAACUGCAUUCGAAACUGGCAGGCUAGAGUCUUGUAGAGGGGGGUAGAAUUCCAGGUGUAGCGGUGAAAUGCGUAGAGAUCUGGAGGAAUACCGGUGGCGAAGGCGGCCCCCUGGACAAAGACUGACGCUUAGGUGCGAAAGCGUGAGGAGCAAACAGGAUUAGAUACCCCUGUAGUC